AACAUUUUGACAAGCAGCCAUCUUUUUAGGUGUGUGAACUUUACUGAACUGUAUACAGUUCCUUGUUAAACUGAGCGAAUUUAGUGCCGAUAUUAUUUACACGUUCUUCAGAACUCACGCGUGAUUUUGUGAUUGUGAUAAAAUCACACACAUCGUAAAACUACAAAUCUUGUUUUACAGAUCUCAAACUAUAUAUUACAAACUACAAACUUCGAGCUGUGGACACAAGAAUACUAAUGAUUUUGGCUCUAUUUUUCCUGCACGAAAAAUCCACAGGUGUAUGCACCAAUCAAAAAUAAGGUAUCCACCGCCAAUCAGGGGAGGAUGAGCUCAUAACCAAUCAAUGAGAACAGCAAAACGACAGGGAGCAGGAAACUGGACACGAGCGGACGCAUGGCGUAUGGGCAGAGUCCAGAAUGGUGUAGCUGCCCUCGUCUGAGCCAGUCACGGUGUGCAGGAUGACCCUCUUCUCUGACGCGGUCAGACGGGCCUUGUACUCCUCGCUGGGGGUCCAGGUCUGGUUCAGGAGCAGAACCGGGCCGUCCGAGGUCUGGUUGAGCUGCAGCACGCUGGACCGGAACUCCAGGGUGAUUGGGCCCAAAAUUUUGCUCAGGGAGAUCAGGAUCAGGUGACUGCGUUGGGGGUUCAGCUUGGCCCGAGAGCCAAGCAGCACCCCGUCUCUCAUCAGAACGUCCUCAGAGCCCUCCGGGCCAACGCUGGGCUUGAACAGCACCUCCGUGGUCUUCAGAGAGGGAACGGGGAGGUGCACA